UACGUAGGGUGCAAGCGUUAUCCGGAAUGAUUGGGCGUAAAGGGUCCGCAGGUGGCAAUGUGUGUCUGCUGUGAAAGAAUGAGGCUUAACCUCAUCAAGGCAGUGGAAACUACAUAGCUAGAGUACGGUCGGGGUAGAAGGAAUUCCUGGUGUAGCGGUGAAAUGCGUAGAGAUCAGGAAGAACACCGGUGGCGAAAGCGUUCUGCUGGACCUGUACUGACGCUGAGGGACGAAAGCUAGGGGAGCGAAUGGG
rnacentral:rRNA from 1 species